GGAACGGUAGUAAAAAAAAAAAGGAAUAAAAUAGGUAGAAGAAGAAAUAAAAGGAAGUAAAGAUUGCCCUAUCAUGUAAACAAAGUAAUCAGAUCAAUGAACUAAGAGAUAAAAACAUAAUUUUAAAAAUAUGCUAAACUAAGCAUGUUUGUAAAAUACAGGAGAGAGAGAGAGAGAGAGAGAGAGAGAGAGAGAGAGAGAGAGAGAGAGAGAGAGAGAGAGGAGAUGAAGAAGCACACAGGGUCUAACGGGAGAAAUAAAGAUUAAAUGCUGGGACAGAGUUUUCUGCAUCUCCUAAUACUGGAGGCUGACAGCCAAUGUACUGGGGAAGAGGGGUAUCACGUGACCUGCCUGACUCCCGCCUCUUCUAUGGUUUAGCCUGGUGUCCAGCGUAUUGGACAAGUAUCUGGUGACACCCUGAGUUGUCCUCUCGCAGAUAUCUUCCUGUAUUUGGGUAACAAGUUCCUCAUCUUUGCCGUCUGUGGGCAGGGCAGCUUCUGUCUUCCUCCCAGGGUUGUUCCGCACAGAGUGGGUGGCAUAGCUGGGCCCGUUCCCGUGCACACGCCUUGGGGAAUAUCGAGUAGAAAUCACAACACAACGCUCUGUUGCAGGCAGAGGAGCUAUAUUUGUACUGAGGAGAUGUGCUAACCUCCGCGCUGGAGGGAUGAGGCAGUGGAUGUCAAGGACUCAGCCAACACUUCUUCUAACAGCAGUGAGCCGCAGUGUUUUCUUAUUCCUGUUUGCACUGAACAGCCCGGCCUCCUGCAUUUUCCUACCAGGGAUUAUUGCCAGGCAGAGGAGAUCAUCAAAAGACAUGGCCAGUUUCCACCACAGAGCCAGGGCAAGCCAGAGACACCAGAAAGGAGGUGAAGCACAGGCCUGAACUAGGUCUGAUGGAAUGCUUACCUCAGAAGUAACCACCCAGGGUUCCUUUAUCCAACUGGUGCAGCUGGCUGAUUCAGUCUUCUCCCUCAAGAAACCGACCUACUGAAGAUAGCAGGGAAGCAUUGCAAGGAAAUUAUCAGGAGUAUGUGGGGUACACUCGGCAUAGAAUGUUCGUGGAAGUCAGAGGAACACUUGGGGAGUCAAUGCCCUCCUUCUACCACAUGACUACCAGGGACAGAAUUCCAGCCCUCUGGCUUGGUGGUGAGGCCUUCAUCUGCUGAAUCAUCUCCCCAGGGCCCUGAUACAAUGAGCUUUGUAGAUACAAUAUUUUAAAAUUCGAAUUUGUUAGAAAUUAGUAAAUAAAGCGUGCUAAGAAGAAUGUUGGCCUGUCCGAGAAGCUCGUGCCUCAGUCCCCAGAGCUUGUGACUAUGCUAAGUCUCACAGCAAAGGGACGAUGUUUCAGAUGGAAUUGGUGUUCCUAGCUGGGUUUUUAUGCUGGUGCCAGUCCAAUCCCGAAGAUCCUGCUAUAUUAGAAUGUGACGUGCCCCUCUUUUGAUAGAUUAGUGAUGACUAGCACUUGGCCUGCAGCUGGUCACGCUGUUUUGGAAA
rnacentral:sRNA from 1 species